AAGGCCUUAGCUUAAUUAAAGCAUUUGUUUUGCAUGCAAAAGAUGUGGGCUAACACCCCGCAAGUCUUA
rnacentral:tRNA from 1 species